CACGUAGGGUGCGAGCGUUGUCCGGAAUUAUUGGGCGUAAAGAGCUCGUAGGCGGCUUGUCGCGUCGUUCGUGAAACCUGCAGCUCAACUGCAGGCUUGCGGUCGAUACGGGCAGGCUAGAGUUCGGUAGGGGAGACUGGAAUUCCUGGUGUAGCGGUGAAAUGCGCAGAUAUCAGGAGGAACACCGGUGGCGAAGGCGGGUCUCUGGGCCGAUACUGACGCU
rnacentral:rRNA from 1 species